rnacentral:rRNA from 1 species
UACAGAGGGCGCGAGCGUUAAUCGGAAUUACUGGGCGUAAAGCGCACGUAGUCGGCUUUGCAAGUCGGUUGUGAAAUCCCCGGGCUCAACCUGGGAACUGCAUCCGAGACUGCAUUGCUAGAGUAUGGGAGAGGAAAGCGGAAUUUCUGGUGUAGCAGUGAAAUGCGUAGAUAUCAGAAGGAACAUCAGUGGCGAAGGCGGCUUUCUGGACCAAUACUGACGAUCAGGUGCGAAAGCGUGGGGAGCAAACAGG